rnacentral:lncRNA from 10 species
UCAGACCUCUGGAAUCAGAAAAGGAGGUGACUAUAUCAGGUAGCCCGCAUUUGCCUUUGCCCUUGGGGAUCCUGUAAUGAGAAUCAUGUGUAAACGGAACGUUGACGAAGCCACACCUGGGGCACAUUGGACCCACGACAGACACUGAUGUGGGAAAAGAGCCGGUACCUUUUGAACCUGACCCAUUUUAUGAGAAGAUGCAUAUCAAAACAAACAAACAAAGCAACAACAAGAACACUGUGGAGUCUAAGAUUGAGGUGUGGUGUCUUGAACAAAAGACAAAAGACUCAGCCACGCUUAUGCUAAGAAGGAGAGCCAGGGAAAGAAAAUGCUGCAGUCGCAGUCAGAAGGAAAAGACUGUUUCACUUUGGCUUCAUGUGCAUCCCCCAGAGGGACUAUCAUGUUACUUUCAAAAUGACUGCAUAGCAGAUGAAAAAUGAUUCUCAUCUGCCUAUGGCUGCUGGGAGGUGGAGUGCAGUGCGGGACUCCUAUGGGGAUAUUUGUGGCUCCUCACGUCUCCUGGACCCAGGGUACCAGGACAGUGGACAUAAGGGACAAUAAAGCUUAUUUGAACAAAAAUACCAUCUUCAGAUUCUGCAUUCAUCACACAUUUUGUUCUCUUGGUUCAGCAGAGGACACAUCUGGAACCCCUUUCCUGCUGGAGUGGACAGUGGAGGCAGCGCCACAGUGGAUUUUCAUUGGUGUCUCCCCUGGCUGCCUGGUGGCUGCCUGUCAGAGCCAGCGCUUGAGAACGUGGCUGCUAGUGAAAGU